GUAGGUGGCAAGCGUUGUCCGGAAUUAUUGGGCGUAAAGCGCGCGCAGGUGGUUCUUUAAGUCUGAUGUGAAGGGACCCCCCGGGCUCAACCGGGGAGGGUCAUUGGAAACUGGGGAACUUGAGUGCAGGAGAGGAAAGUGGAAUUCCACGUGUAGCGGUGAAAUGCGUAGAUAUGUGGAGGAACACCAGUGGCGAAGGCGACUUUCUGGCCUGUAACUGACACUGAGGCGCGAAAGCGUGGGGAGCAAACAGGAUUAGAUACCCUGGUAGUCCACGCCGUAAACGAUGAGUGCUAAGUGUUGGGGGGUUUCCGCCCCUCAGUGCUGCAGCUAACGCAUUAAGCACUCCGCCUGGGGAGUACGGUCGCAAAGACUG
rnacentral:rRNA from 1 species